rnacentral:rRNA from 1 species
GUGGGGAAUAUUGGACAAUGGGCGCAAGCCUGAUCCAGCCAUGCCGCGUGUGUGAAGAAGGCCUUCGGGUUGUAAAGCACUUUUGUUGGGAAAGAAAUCCUGUCGGCUAAUACCCGGCGGGGAUGACGGUACCCAAAGAAUAAGCACCGGCUAACUUCGUGCCAGCAGCCGCGGUAAUACGAAGGGUGCAAGCGUUACUCGGAAUUACUGGGCGUAAAGCGUGCGUAGGUGGUUCGUUAAGUCAGAUGUGAAAGCCCCAGGCUCGACGUGGGAAUUGCAUGUGAUACGGGCGGACUAGAGUGCGGUAGAGGAGAGUGGAAUUGCCGUUGUAGCAGUGAAAUGCGUAGAGAUCGGGAGGAACAUCAGUUGCGAAGGCGGCUCUCUGGACCAGCACUGACACUGAGGCACGAAAGCGUGGGGAGCAAACAGGAUUAGAAACCCGAGUAGUCC